UACGGAGGGAGCUAGCGUUGUUCGGAAUUACUGGGCGUAAAGCGCGCGUAGGCGGCUUUGUAAGUUAGAGGUGAAAGCCCGGGGCUCAACCCCGGAACUGCCUUUAAGACUGCAUCGCUUGAAUCCAGGAGAGGUGAGUGGAAUUCCGAGUGUAGAGGUGAAAUUCGCAGAUAUUCGGAAGAACACCAGUGGCGAAGGCGGCUCACUGGACUGGUAUUGACGCUGAUGUGCGAAAGCGUGGGGAGCAAACAGG
rnacentral:rRNA from 1 species